rnacentral:rRNA from 1 species
GACGAACGCUGGCGGCGUGCUUAACACAUGCAAGUCGAGCGAUGAAACACCUUCGGGUGCGGAUUAGCGGCGAACGGGUGAGGAACACGUGAGGAAUCUGCCUUCCACUCUGGGAUAACUCCGGGAAACCGGGGCGAAUACCGGAUACUUUCAACUGGCGGCAUCGCCGGUUGAAGAAAGUUUUUCGGUGGAAGAUGACCUCGCGGCCUAUCAGCUUGGUGGUGAGGUAAAGGCUCACCAAGGCGACGACGGGUAGCCGGCCUGAGAGGGCGACCGGCCACGCUGGGACUGAGACACGGCCCAGACUCCUACGGGAGGCAGCAGUGGGGAAUAUUGGGCAAUGGAGGAAACUCUGACCCAGCGACGCCGCGUGAGGGAUGAAGGCCUUCGGGUUGUAAACCUCUUUCAGCAGGGAAUAAGCGAAAGUGAAGGUACCUGCAGAAGAAGCACCGGCUAACUAUGUGCCAGCAGCCGCCGCGG